rnacentral:tRNA from 1 species
UUAAUUGAAACCAAAAAAGGAGGUAUAUCACUGUUAAUGAUAAAAUUGAAGUAACAUUCCAAUUAAA